rnacentral:rRNA from 1 species
GACGAACGCUGGCGGCGUGCUUAACACAUGCAAGUCGAACGGAAAGGCCCUGCUUUUGUGGGGUGCUCGAGUGGCGAAAGGGGGAGUAACACGUGAGUAACCUGCCCCUGACUUUGGGAUAACUUCAGGAAACAGGGGCGAAUACCGGAUAGGAACACCUGCUGCAUGGGGGGGGUGGGAAAGAUUCGGCGGUUGGGGAUGGACUCGCGGCUUAUCAGCGUGUUGGUGGGGUAGUGGCUUACCAAGGCUUUGACGGGUAGCCGGCCUGAGAGGGUGACCGGCCACAUUGGGACUGAGGUACGGCCCAGACUCCUACGGGAGGCAGCAGUGGGGAAUAUUGCACGAUGGGCGGAAGCCUGAUGCAGCAACGCCGCGUGCGGGAUGACGGCCUUCGGGUUGUAAACCGCUUUCGCCUGUGACGAAGCGUGAGUGACGGUAAUGGGUAAAGAAGCACCGGCUAACUACGUG